rnacentral:rRNA from 1 species
CACGUAGGGGCCAAGCGUUGUCCGGAUUCAUUGGGCGUAAAGAGCUCGUAGGCGGUUCAGUUAGUCGGGUGUGAAAUCUCCGGGCUCAACCCGGAGGGGCCACCCGAUACUGCUGUGACUCGAGUCCGGUAGGGGAGUGGGGAAUUCCUGGUGUAGCGGUGAAAUGCGCAGAUAUCUGGAGGAACACCGGUGGCGAAGGCGGCAUCCUGGACCGGUAUUGACGCUGAGGCGCGAAAGCUAGGGGAGCAAACGGG